rnacentral:rRNA from 1 species
GACGAGCGGACGAAGUUCGACCGAGGGUUGUCGCUGGCCUCUUCUGGCAUGUGCACGCCUUCGGUCCUAGUCUCCGUUCUACUUCUUCUUUGCGUGGACUCGUUCUCUCACACACCUGUGCACACGUUGUAGGCUUUCCCUCCGCGAGGGGGGAGAGAUCCUAUGUCUUUCACAAACUCUCAUGUAUGUCUACAGAAUGUCUACGUUUCAUCGUCGUCUCGGCGGCGGUGAACGAAACUAUGAACAACUUUCAGCAAUGGAUCUCUUGGCUCUCGCAUCCAUGAAGAACGCAGCGAAUUGCGAUAAGUAAUGUGAAUUGCAGAUUUUCCGUGAAUCAUCGAAUCUUUGAACGCACCUUGCGCUCCUUGGUAUUCCGAGGAGCAUGCCUGUUUGAGUGUCAUGAAAUUCUCAACCGUGUCUCGAUUGAUUUCGAGCGCACGGCUUGGAUGUGGGGGUUGCUGGCGAUGCGAGUCGUCGGCUCUCCUGAAAUGCAUUAGCAAAGGCGAGCCCCUUCGUGCACGGCCUUCCACGUGAUAAUGAUCGUCGCGGCUGGAGCGAGAGGCAUGAAUCGUCAGAGCUUAUAAUCUUGGAAUCCGAGUCGAAAGACUCCGGAUCGCUCUCGAAACUUGACCUCAAAUCAGGUAGGACUACCCG